rnacentral:rRNA from 1 species
UAGAGUAAUGCGUGACAACCUGCCCACUGCUCCAGAAUAGCUCUUGGAAACGGGUGGUAAUGCUGGAUGCUCCAACUUGACGCAUGUCUUGUUGGGAAAGUGUUAGUGGCAUGGGAUGGGGUCGCGUCCUAUCAGCUUGUAGGCGGGGUAAUGGCCCACCUAGGCUUCGACGGGUAGCCGGCCUGAGAGGGCGGACGGCCACAUUGGGACUGAGAUACGGCCCAGACUCCUACGGGAGGCAGCAGCC